rnacentral:rRNA from 1 species
UACGAAGGGGGCUAGCGUUGCUCGGAAUCACUGGGCGUAAAGCGCACGUAGGCGGAUCUUUAAGUCAGGGGUGAAAUCCUGGAGCUCAACUCCAGAACUGCCUUUGAUACUGGGGAUCUCGAGUCCGGAAGAGGUGAGUGGAACUCCGAGUGUAGAGGUGAAAUUCGUAGAUAUUGGGAAGAACACCGGUGGCGAAGGCGGCCAACUGGACCACAACUGACGCUGAGGCGCGAAAGCGUGGGGAGCAAACAGG